AGUUUCAAAUUUGGUGGCGUGGUCAGCACUGCAGGGGAAUGCAGUGAAAUCUCGUAAUACGAUUUAAUGAACUUUGAAUAAUAAACCGUCUUUGCUCCUGAUUGGCUCGCUCACCGCGCGCUCCCCUCUCUGAUUGGUGGGAAGCCUUGCCGGCGGGAGGUCUUAUUGGAGUUACCAUAGCAGUGUGGGACGCUGCGCGGCCGAACGCGGAGGGAUCCGGCCGCGCCGCCGUCCCGUCUGUCUUCGGAACCAGAUCAGAGCUGCCGCAGCGUUGUCCCCGCAGACUAAUCCAGCCAUGGGUAGUGUGAAUUACUCAAAAGGUUCCUGGCUACAAAGAUUUGCAAAUGGGAAACCUGUGAGAAAACCCAAGCAGCAAGAGCCUUGGAAGGCAGUAGCUGAUCAAAGCCGAGACAUCAUUGCUUCUGCUCAGUGCAUCUUGGACAGAGAAAAUUUUGUGAGGGGUUAUGUGUUUUUGGAUGAUUAUGACCCAUCAGAGUAUGAUCCAUUCUUCCAGAAGACGUGCACAGACUGCUGGAAGGUGUGAGCAGGUUUGGAGUCCCACUUUGACCAGCAGGAGGUUAACAGAGCAUGUUACUGACGUGCUGCUCUAGGGGAGUGUGUUCUAGUUUUACUAACUCACUCCUACUGCAUUUAAGCCCCAGAGUGUUUGAACAUGGUUUUCACCAGGAACACAGUCUGGAUCUAAGCCCAGUUUUUGAGACACAGUAGCAAUGGCAGGGGGAGGUUUGUUUUCCUCAUUUUAAAUCCAUCAUGGCAGCAUGGAGGGGAUGUCCUGUCUAAGGAAGGUUGGAGAGUUCCCAGGCAUGCUCAGUGUGUGCUGUGUAGAAGGAAAUAAUCUGACAGUUCAGCUGAUCUUUACAGAAGCAUGGUAACACUUUUUCCUUCUCUUUAAAGGAUGAGGAACUCAUCAACUAGCACAAUGACAGAGAGAGCCAAUGAUGUCACCUGUGCUCCAGCUGACCACAGCCAUCAAAGGUACCCUUUACACAAUUAAGUUACAUGCACUGCCAAAGCAAGUGAGAGCAGGCCAGGCAGGUCUUUAGGCAAACUGCAAUAAACUUACUGUCUUAAACA
rnacentral:lncRNA from 1 species